rnacentral:lncRNA from 1 species
CUUUGAUGAUGGAAAUGUCUGGACGGCCGACUGUCAAUGAAUCUGAUUUUUCCUUUCCAAACCGUCGACAAAGAGAAAGGAAGAUGGAGGGAUAUUUUUGAAAAAGUGUCUUUAAAUUGUGUUUUCAUUUUUUUUUAAAUCAGUCAAAGGUCAAGGUGAAAAAAAGGGUGGUCAAAAGACCAUUUUCACUUGUUUCCUCUAUUUUCUCUCUCAUUGAAUCACGUCUCCACCUCUUUUCUGGUCGAUUCAUUACUAUUUUUUUCACCUCUUCCUGUUGAUUUUACCACAGAUUCAUCCCCAAGAUUUCCAUCUAUUCUCUGUUGAUUUUACCACAUGUUCAUUCCCAAGAUUUCCAUUUAUUUUUGUUUAUUAUAUUCUUCUAUAUGUUCUACAGAUUCCAUGUGAAAUUUUGGAAUAAACUGUUAGCAUCGACGAUUUGAAUCAGUGGAGAAUCUGGAGAUUGUUUCUCCUUCACUUCAUUAAUAAAGUAUUUUUUUUUUUUUUUUUUUUUAAAUUGGAUCGUCGCAAUAGAGGACCCUUUGCAAAUCUGUGCUUCAUUGCUUUUCUCCACAUAUUUUCCCCUUUAUUAUGUGUGUUUUUGCAGUGUGACUUGAUCUUGUAAUAGUGUCAUUUAUGGGAUUAAUUUUAUUUUUUUAGAUGAUUAUUCUUGUAUUUUGACAAAUAUUUAUUUUGAGACAAAAGAAAUUAUGAAGUAUUUUAAAGUCUUGUGGUUUCUUAUUGAUAGGGGUGUUUGAUUUUGUUGGUAAUUAUUAAAAACUGUCGUGACUAUAGUCACUAUACAAGAUUUUUUUAUAUAUUCAAUGGCUAUCUCGUGUUUCAAUCCGUUUCAACCGUGCAGGUCGAAGAGCAAAUCUUUAUUAAUUUCUUCUACUUCGAGAACACAGUUAAGCAAUGAUGCAAAUAAUAUGGAGAGGAAGAGAUUUGACAGUUUGGAAUCUUGGUCAAUGAUAUUGGAUUCUGAGAAUGUUGAGACUUGGGAAACAUAUGAAGAUCAAGAGGAAUGGACGGCUGAUCUUUCUCAAUUAUUUAUAGGCAAUAAGUUUGCUUCUAGUGCACAUAGUUGAAUUUACAGAGGAAUUCAUAAGCAGAGAGCAGUUGCUGUAAAAAUGGUGAGAAUUCCAACUCAUAAUGAGGAAGCUAAAACUUUACUUGAACAACAAUUCAAGUCGGAAGUUGCCCUUCUUUCGUGUCUUUAUCAUCCCAAUAUAGUGCAGUUAGAUUUCCUUAUAUCUUUGUGCAGGGCCGGUUAUCUGAUUUUCGGGGCCUGAGACGAACUUAAAAAAUUAGGCCCCCAAAAUAAGUAUAAAUGCAAAAUUUAAUCGUGUAUUAUGCAACAUAUUGCUAAUCGAGAACUCCAAACUCAUAUUUAGGA